AUUGAACGCUGGCGGCAUGCUUUACACAUGCAAGUCGAACGGCAGCGCGGGCUUCGGCCUGGCGGCGAGUGGCGAACGGGUGAGUAAUACAUCGGAACGUGCCCAGUAGUGGGGGAUAGCUCGGCGAAAGCCGGAUUAAUACCGCAUACGACCUGAGGGUGAAAGCGGGGGAUCUUCGGACCUCGCGCUAUUGGAGCGGCCGAUGGCAGAUUAGCUAGUUGGUGGGGUAAAGGCCUACCAAGGCGACGAUCUGUAGCUGGUCUGAGAGGACGACCAGCCAGACUGGGACUGAGACACGGCCCAGACUCCUACGGGAGGCAGCAGUGGGGAAUUUUGGACAAUGGGCGGAAGCCUGAUCCAGCAAUGCCGCGUGUGUGAUGAAGGCCUUCGGGUUGUAAAGCACUUUUGGCGGGAACGAAAAGGACUGUGCCAAUACCACGGUUCGAUGACGGUACCCGCAGAAUAAGCACCGGCUAACUACGUG
rnacentral:rRNA from 1 species